AGAGCUUGCUCUUAUGAAGUUAGGGGCGGACGGGGGAGUAACACGUGGGUAACCUGCCCAUAAGACUGGGAUAACUCCGGAAAACCGGGGAUAAUACCGGAUAACAUUUUGAACCGCAUGGUUCGAAAUUGAAAGGCGGCUUCGGCUGUCACUUAUGGAUGGACCCGCGUCGCAUUAGCUAGUUGGUGAGGUAACGGCUCACCAAGGCAACGAUGCGUAGCCGACCUGAGAGGGUGAUCGGCCACACUGGGACUGAGACACGGCCCAGACUCCUACGGGAGGCAGCAGUAGGGAAUCUUCCGCAAUGGACGAAAGUYUGACGGAGCAACGCCGCGUGAGUGAUGAAGGCUUUCGGGUCGUAAAACUCUGUUGUUAGGGAAGAACAAGUGCUAGUUGAAUAAGCUGGCACCUUGACGGUACCUAACCAGAAAGCCACGGCUAACUACGUGCCAGCAGCCGCGGUAAUACGUAGGUGGCAAGCGUUAUCCGGAAUUAUUGGGCGUAAAGCGCGCGCAGGUGGUUUCUUAAGUCUGAUGUGAAAGCCCACGGCUCAACCGUGGAGGGUCAUUGGAAAUUGGGAGACUUGAGUGCAGAAGAGGAAAGUGGAAUUCCAUGUGUAGCGGUGAAAUGCGUAGAGAUAUGGAGGAACACCAGUGGCGAAGGCGACUUUGUGGUCUGU
rnacentral:rRNA from 1 species